rnacentral:tRNA from 1 species
GGAGGAGUGGCAGAGUGGUCGAUUGCACUGGUCUUGAAAACCAGAGCAUCCGAAAGGGUGCCGUGAGUUCGAAUCUCACCUCCUCCG